rnacentral:lncRNA from 1 species
GUUGAUGCCAUAACCAAGUACUGUGGAGACAUCAAAAGAAUGAAGACAAAGAAAACAUACAGAAUUGGAAGCCCUGCCUCCCCAAGGCACAGACAGAGUCUCCUCCGUCUUACUUGAGCUCCACCAAACUCAGGAAGCGUGCAAAUACUUUCAUCCUGCCAGCUUCACUCUGGAACUUUGCUUUCUUGGCUACUAUGGAAAAAAACAACGUUCACAAUUUUACACAGAAAUCAGUGACAUGCGUGGAAAGAAAAUGGAACAGAAGGUAGAAACCUGCGUUCUGGAAUUAGACUGCCGGCGUUUAAAGCUCAUCUCUGCCACUAACCACUUAUAUGAUGUUAGGCAAAUUAGUUUAUCUCUCUGUGCUACUAUUUUCUCAAAAGUAAAAUGUGAGUUGCAAUGUAGUUUGUUUAACUCGAAAAUUUUGAGAUUUGAAUAUAACAUUCAAACGCUAAGAUGUGUACCUGACACAGAAUAAAUGCUCAAUAACAAUAAUCUCUUUUUUAAAAAUGCACAAAAUGUAGAAAGCAAUACAUUGAAUUCCAUUCUUUAAAACGAGCACAUAUCUAAAUGCUGAGUAAUUUCUUACGGAGACCUUACAGAUACAGUUCUUUUUUCUAUUGUUUCCCCGGAAUUAUUCAGAAAAGCAUUUUCUUUAAGCAAGUUCUAAUGGCUGUCACUAUGAUUUAAAGCUUUCUACAGAAUCUUUCACAUAGGGUAUGCCUGCCUAAAUUACUUUGGACCUAGUUUUAGAUAAACUU